rnacentral:rRNA from 1 species
AUUAAUUUAAUGGCUGCAGUAUUUUAACUGUACAAAGGUAGCAUAAUAAUUAGUUCCUUAAUUAGGGACUGGAAUGAAGGAUUGAACGAGAUAAAAAUUGUCUCUUUUUAAAUUUUAUAAUUUUAUUUUUAAGUUAAAAAGCUUAAAUAUUAUUAAAAGACGAGAAGACCCUAUAGAGUUUUAUAAUUAUAAUAUAAAUAAAUUUUAGUAAUAAAAUUUUAUUUAUACAAUGAUUAUUUGGUUGGGGUGAUUUUAAAAUUUAAAAAACUUUAAUAUAAUUUACAUUAAUAUAUGAAUAAUUGAUCCAUAAUUUAUGAUUAAAAGAUUAAAUUACCUUAGGGAUAACAGCGUAAUUUUUUUAAAGAGUUCUAAUCGAAAAAAAAGAUUGCGACCUCGAUGUUGGAUUAAAAUAAAUUUUUGGUGUAGAAGCUAAAAUAUUAGGUCUGUUCGACCUUUAAAAUUUUACAUGAUCUGAGUUUAAAUCGGCGUGAGCCAGGUUGGUUUCUAUCUUUAAUUAAAUAAAAUAUUUUAGUACGAAAGGACCAAAUAUUUAUAAUGUUUAUUUAUUUAUGAUUAAUAUUA